AUUCCUUAAGUAAUUGCGAAUGAACAAGGAAAUGCUCAGCUUGAAAAAUGGGGCCUUUGGCUUUGAAUUGUAAUUUUGAAAUGUAUUGCCAAUGGAGGCGCAGGUGCAAGCCUAUUGAAAGAAAGCGUCAAUGAGGGUGAGAUUCCUUUUUGUCAUUUGCAGUCCUCCGUGCACGGUAUAUAUUUGACGAGUCACACUCCUCGGCAUUGGAAUGCAAAGUGGGUGGUAAAUUCCAUGUAAAGGUAAAUAUAUUAUUGAGACUGAUAGCAAACAAGUACCAUGAGGGAAAUAUGAAAAGGACUUUGAAAAGAGAAUUAAAAGAGUCUGCAUUUGCUGAACAGAAAGCAAACAGAAUUGAUUUUACUUGGUGAGAUUGUUGUGCUUACUCUAUCAUUUAUAUGGUUGAUGUGGGUGCGAUGGUUCUUACCUUGAAUGUCAGCUUCUAUUUCUGCAAAUCAUUACCCUUGCACAUGAAUGGUAAUUUGCCUGCGGGUAUUGGAAUGCAUGUGUUUGCAAUGAUUUGUGAUUUGACGCAUGUGUUUGGUGAAAUUUGUAUAUGCUCUUUUGUCGAAGGGGAAAGCUUACUUUUUUGAGCAUUGCAAGCCCUUACACAUCAGUGCUGGCAAAAUGUUUCUGCUUGACCCGUCUUGAAACACGGACCAAGGAGUCUAACAGAUGUGCAAGUUCGUGGGUGGCAAACCUUUUUGCGCAAUGAAAGUAUUGGCUGGGAUACUUGCACCAGCAGCCGACCAAUUAGCAGACAGAGGUUUGAGUUUGAGCAUAUCUAUUAGGACCCGAAAGAUGGUGAACUAUGCCUGAACAGAAUGAAUUCAGAGGAAACUCUGAUGGAGGUUCGUAU
rnacentral:rRNA from 1 species